AGUGAACGCUGGCGGCGUGCCUAAUACUUGCAAGUCGAACGGAGUGGCGCUCGGGUGAGUAAUUUAUAGCUAAUCUGCCCUACACUAGAGGACAACAGUUGGAAAACGCAGCUCAUACUCUACAGUGUAGGAUGGGGCUAUAUAGUAUCAGCUCGCUGGUGAGGUAAUGGCUCACCAAGGCUAUGACGCAUAACUGGUCUGAGAGGAUGAUCAGUCAACGGGGAGCUGAAGCACGAUCCGGACUCCUACGGGAGGCAGCAGUAGGGAAUAUCACUAAAGGGGGGAAACCCUGAAGAAGCAACGCCGCGUGGAGGAUGACACUUUUCGGAGCGUAAACUCCUUUUGUUAGGGAAGCGGUACCUAACGAAUAAGCACCGGCUAACUCCGUGCCAGCAGCCGCGGUAAUUC
rnacentral:rRNA from 1 species